rnacentral:rRNA from 1 species
GUGAGUAGUUCAGAGUUUGAUCCUGGCUCAGGACGAACGCUGGCGGCGUGCCUAACACAUGCAAGUCGAACGGGGUAGAAGACUUCGGUUUUUUACUUAGUGGCGAACGGGUGAGUAACGCGUGAGGAACCUGCCUUUCAGUGGGGGACAACAGUUGGAAACGACUGCUAAUACCGCAUAAUGUUUUUGAACCGCAUGGUUUAAAACCAAAGCUUUAUGUGCUGAAAGAUGGCCUCGCGUCUGAUUAGCUAGUUGGUGGGGUAACGGCCCACCAAGGCGACGAUCAGUAGCCGGUCUGAGAGGAUGAACGGCCACAUUGGGACGUGAGAUACGGCCCACG